CUUGGUCAUUUAGAGGAAGUAAAAGUCGUAACAAGGUUUCCGUAGGUGAACCUGCGGAAGGAUCAUUAUCAAAAGUCAAGUCGGGGGCUGUAAAGCUCUCGUCUACACCCAUGUCUUUUGCGUACUCUUGUUUCCUCGGUGGCGCAAGCUGCCGAUUGGACAAACCAAAACCUUUUUUGUAAUUGCAAUCAGCGUCUGAAAAUAAUCUAAUUAUUUACAACUUUCAACAACGGAUCUCUUGGUUCUGGCAUCGAUGAAGAACGCAGCGAAAUGCGAUAAGUAGUGUGAAUUGCAGAAUUCAGUGAAUCAUCGAAUCUUUGAACGCACAUUGCGCCCCUUGGUAUUCCAUGGGGCAUGCCUGUUCGAGCGUCAUUUGUACCCUCAAGCUUUGCUUGGUGUUGGGCGUUUUGUCGUAUUACGACUCGCCUUAAAUUUAUUGGCAGCCGGCACUUUGGCCUAGGAGCGCAGCACAUUUUGCGAUCGUAGCCCGUUGUACUGGCGUCCAUCAAGAACAUUUACCACGUUUGACCUCGGAUCAGGUAGGGAUACCCGCUGAACUUAAGCAUAUCAAUAAGCGGAGGA
rnacentral:rRNA from 1 species